rnacentral:rRNA from 1 species
UAGCAUAUCAAUAAGCGGAGGAAAAAGAACCAACCGGGAUUGCCUUAGUAACGGCGAGUGAAGCGGCAAAAGCUCAAAUUUGAAAUCUGGUACCUUCGGUGCCCGAGUUGUAAUUUGGAGAGGGCAACUUUGGGGCCGUUCCUUGUCUAUGUUCCUUGGAACAGGACGUCAUAGAGGGUGAGAAUCCCGUGUGGCGAGGAGUGCGGUUCUUUGUAAAGUGCCUUCGAAGAGUCGAGUUGUUUGGGAAUGCAGCUCUAAGUGGGUGGUAAAUUCCAUCUAAAGCUAAAUAUUGGCGAGAGACCGAUAGCGAACAAGUACAGUGAUGGAAAGAUGAAAAGAACUUUGAAAAGAGAGUGAAAAAGUACGUGAAAUUGUUGAAAGGGAAGGGCAUUUGAUCAGACAUGGUGUUUUGUGCCCUCUGCUCCUUGUGGGUAGGGGAAUCUCGCAUUUCACUGGGCCAGCAUCAGUUUUGGUGGCAGGAUAAAUCCAUAGGAAUGUAGCUUGCCUCGGUAAGUAUUAUAGCCUGUGGGAAUACUGCCAGCUGGGACUGAGGACUGCGACGUAAGUCAAGGAUGCUGGCAUAAUGGUUAUAUGCCGCCCGUCUUGAAACACGGACCAAGGAGUCUAACGUCUAUGCGAGUGUUUGGGUGUAAAACCCAUACGCGUAAUGAAAGUGAACGUAGGUUGGGGCCUCGCAAGAGGUGCACAAUCGACCGAUCCUGAUGUCUUCGGAUGGAUUUGAGUAAGAGCAUAGCUGUUGGGACCCGAAAGAUGGUGAACUAUGCCUGAAUAGGGUGAAGCCAGAGGAAACUCUGGUGGAGGCUCGUAGCGGUUCUGACGUGCAAAUCGAUCGUCGAAUUUGGGUAUAGGGGCGAAAGACUAAUCGAACCAUCUAGUAGCUGGUUCCUGCGA